AACGAACGCUGGCGGCAUGCCUAACGCAUGCAAGUCGAACGAGACCUUCGGGUCUAGUGGCGCACGGGUGCGUAACGCGUGGGAACCUGCCCUUAGGUUCGGAAUAACUCCCCGAAAGGGGUGCUAAUACCGGAUAAUGUCUUCGGACCAAAGAUUUAUCGCCUUUGGAUGGGCCCGCGUUGGAUUAGCUAGUUGGUAGGGUAAAAGCCUACCAAGGCGACGAUCCAUAGCUGGUCUGAGAGGAUGAUCAGCCACACUGAGACUGAGACACGGCCCAGACUCCUACGGGAGGCAGCAGUGGGGAAUAUUGGACAAUGGGCGAAAGCCUGAUCCAGCAAUGCCGCGUGAGUGAUGAAGGCCUUAGGGUUGUAAAGCUCUUUUACCCGGGAUGAUAAUGACAGUACCGGGAGAAUAAGCUCCGGCUAACUCCGUG
rnacentral:rRNA from 1 species